AUGUCUGGAUUUAGUCGUCUGCCGUCACCUCACGGACCUGGAUCUAGUCAUGUAAUUGGCGUGUCGGCACCAUUUACGGUUUGGGCUGUGGUACCACUUCUAGCUGGGAAUAAUAAUAAUAGGAAGAAAAAUCCUUACAAAAACAAUAGGGAUCCAACCUGUUGGCUUGGACCCUUAAAAAUCCUUACAAAAACAGGAGUAGCGAGAAGUCAGUGUAACGUUUUCGCAGCUAAAUUUUGUAGAAGAUAUACAAUUUCCGCAUUUAUGGCGCCCCCUAAUGGCGAAAUUUUCCGAAAUUUUUAUCGUACGACAUUAAGGUUAGCACCAACAUGUGUGUAAAACUUGGAGUCGAUCCGAUGUGUAAUUUUGGGCGUGGCCUAUGCCAAAAGAUGCAUCAGACUCCAGUGAAUCUGUGUGUACAAGGUUUUGAAUGUGGGAGGUUCGGUGUGGGAGUUAUAGCCUCAAACGCGUAUUCCUUGGUAUAGCACCACCUAGGGGCCGGCGUGUCUGGAUUUUGUCGUCUGCGUAGUCUACACGGACCUGGAUCUAGUCAUGCAAUUGGCGUGUGUGCAACAUUUACGGUUUGGGCUGUGGUACCACUUU
rnacentral:lncRNA from 1 species